rnacentral:rRNA from 1 species
AGACACGGCCCAGACUCCUACGGGAGGCAGCAGUGGGGAAUAUUGCACAAUGGGGGAAACCCUGAUGCAGCGACGCCGCGUGAGGGAUGACGGCCUCGGUUGUAACUACUUCUAGUAGGAGAAGACUUCGGGUUGGACGGUACCUGCAGAAGAAGUACCGGCUAACUACGUGCCAGCAGCGCGGUAAUACGUAGGUACAAGCGUGUCCGGAUUAUUGGCGUAAGAGCUCGUAGCGGUUCGUCGCGUCGCUGUGAACGCAAGGCUCAACCUUGCGCGUGCAGUGGUACGGGCGGACUAGAGUGCAGUAGGGAGUCUGGAAUUCCUGGUGUAGCGGUGAAAUGCGCAGAUAUCAGGAGGAACACCGGUGGCGAAGGCGGGACUCUGGGCUGUUACUGACGCUGAGAGCGAAAGCAUGGGGGGUCACGGCGGCCG